rnacentral:rRNA from 1 species
GAUGAACGCUGGCGGCGUGCUUAACACAUGCAAGUCGAACGGCAAGGCCCAAGCUUGCUUGGGUACUCGAGUGCCGAACGGGUGCGUAACACGUGUGCGACCUGCCCUGCACUUCGGGAUAAGCCUAGGAAACUGGGCCUACUCCCGGAUAGGAUCACUCCUUGGGGGUUGUGCAGGAGAGCUUUUUCGCUGUGGGAUGUGCUCGCGGCGUAGCAGGUUGUGGGAGGGGUCAUGGCGUACCACGGCGUCGACGGGUAGCCGCCAUGAGAGAGUGUACGGACGCAUUGGAACCGAGAGACGGCCCGGAGUCGGGCAGGAGGGAGCAGUGGGGAAUAUUGGACAAUGCGCGAAAGCGUGAUGCAGCGAGGCCGCGGGGUGGAUAAGGGCCUUUGGGUGGUAAGCAAAUUACGCUAGGGACAACGCGUUGUUGUGACGGUACCUGGAGAAUAAGCACCGGCUAACUACGUG